rnacentral:lncRNA from 1 species
AGUUCCAGGAAGGCAAGUAUAACCCAUACAUUACCGGCCAGAGGCAGAGAGCAGUGCCUUGUGGAGCCAGGAAGGGCCUACUGAUGGUCACAAAAAUGUCUUUCCGCCUGGCGCCUGUGUGCUACUCUGACGGUGUUGUCUGAAUUAUGGACACAAGGCCCAAGUCUGCUUGAGUUUCCCUUGGAAAUUUUGGUAAUAAAAAGCAGAAAAGGUGUUUCUUGAAAAAAUACAAUAUGAAACACGAAAAGGCAAAUAAGCAAUUAACAUGAAGCGAACCAUUCUUGGCUUCCUUGUGUCUCCCUUUUCCUGCCUUCCUACCUCUAGUGCAACCUUCACGAUUCCUUUGCAAAGGAAUGAAAUCUCUAACAGGUUCUCAGGCAGAAGGGCUCAGGACAAACACCAGAGAACGUGGCAUGCCAAUUUAAGGAUUUAUUGCAUCUUAUAAUUCCACACUCAUUUGCACAUUCUGGCGAUGUCGUUCAUGGAGGUGAUGAUUACUGUGGGGGUUGGACUACGCACAGCCACUUUCCAAGAGCAAUGCAGAAUGGAGGUCUCUCAAGAUUGUACAGCUUAUUCCAAUGACUCCCUGGUGAUGACUCCAAGAUUCAUUAAAAAGAAUGGAAAUUUGGUAGUAGGGAGAGAUUUUACCUUGGAGGUGAUGCCUGCAAACAUUUCUAGCCAUUGCAGAGGCACCAGCACCCUGAGCAGCGCUGCCAAGCUCCUUCUGCCAGGACUAAACUCAGCAUCGCACCAACAAGCCACCGUCGCUUUGAACUGUCUGUGUCAGAUAAGGUAA